UACGUAGGUGGCAAGCGUUGUCCGGAUUUAUUGGGCGUAAAGCGAGCGCAGGCGGUUUCUUAAGUCUGAUGUGAAAGCCCCCGGCUUAACCGGGGAGGGUCAUUGGAAACUGGGAGACUUGAGUGCAGAAGAGGAGAGUGGAAUUCCAUGUGUAGCGGUGAAAUGCGUAGAUAUAUGGAGGAACACCAGUGGCGAAGGCGACUCUCUGGUCUGCAACUGACGCUGAGGCUCGAAAGCGUGGGGAGCAAACAGG
rnacentral:rRNA from 1 species